UAACAAACCUCCUGCAGUACAUGG
rnacentral:siRNA from 1 species